GAUUAUGUGUAGUACACAACUCGAUGCGGCGACUGCUCCGUGCUACGUGCCGCGAACUUGUCAAACAAGCCCUGUGCAAACACUCAGAGAGGGAGAGAGUGGCAGACGUUCUCUAGAGAGAGAGUGCAGACGAACGGAUGAUUGCACUGAUGAUUGUCAAUUAUACGAGUACUCUAGGGCGUACAACAACUCUAAAUAUAUGUACGAUUAUAGCUCAUAUACGGGAGAAUUCGGAUAAUAGGGAGAGGAAAAAUAUAGAAUACUUUCUAGGCAAUUGGAAGGACAGGAAGUGGUUGAAGAUAGAGAAUACUUUCGAUGUAUCCAAUAUACAUCUAUCGUAAACCUUUCUCCUGUUUUAACUCCCUCACAUCUCUAAAUCUCUCAAUGGCUCCUUCAAGAGGCAACAAAUAUGUCUGCAAAACCUUUACGAUAUGGCACCUAAUUAGGCAGAAGAACGCCACAGAAAUUUACGCUCCGCCAGAGGAUGGUCCGACCCAGAACUUUGGGACGCCGGCGGCUGCGUGGAUGGAUGGGAUGGAUGGGAUGGGCGAUCUACUCGUGUACGGGGCAUGCAUCAGCGCUGUGCAAACAUGGAUUCGUUCCCAUUGAGGUGCCGAUAACCCGCUCCGAGUUAUUGGUUGGGGCAUACAUCAAAUCAUAAAGCAAAUGGUGCCGACAACUAACUGGCCAGAGUGCCGAAAUGGCCAAAUAACCCGAAGGCAACAACCAACCGACAGCCAUGACAUUUACAUUCACAUUCACCCCAAAACAAGAAAGAAAGAAAGAAAGACACAAAAUAAAGAAGAAAAGAAAAUCAACGACCAAACAACCGGCGAC